ensembl:lncRNA
CAUACAUGUUGUAGGGAUGGUUGUAAGUGUGUGUGACUGUGUGUUCGUGUGUGGAUUAAUCAGAUAACGUCUUGCAGGGUUUAUAGUGGGCAAAAUGAUGCAUAACAGCAACCUUAAAUUAAUGAGUAAUUAAGUCCUAGAGGCAAUUUAAUAUACAAUAAUAAGCGAGUUCAUGUUUUAUGCUGCAGUCUGGCAUUCCUUCCAGAUGAUGAUUUGCUAAAAAAAUCCAAAAAUAAUAGCACCCUAUGGACACUAUCCAGAACUUUUUUUUACCCCUCUCUGUCAAUCAUGCAUGCACAUGUCAACAAAAAUACAGUUAUUCUGAAUGUAGCUAAGGCUAGAAAAGCAGCGAGUAUUGAUUUGUUUUUGUUCUUUUGUUUGCAAAGCGCAGGGAAUUUUAAGAUAUCCCGUCCAUGGCCUUGGGGUGGAUUCAGACUUGGGUUUCUGCUAUAGCCUUACAGUAUAUGGGUCCUCCAGACAACUUGGAUAUUUGGCAAGCAGACUGGACCAACAAGCAAUCGAACCACCAAUCUUUCAAUUAAUAAAUGAC